GAUGAACGCUGGCGGGGUGCCUAAUACAUGCAAGUCGAACGCAUAGCGAAAGGUGCUUGCACCUUUCAAGUGAGUGGCGAACGGGUGAGUAACACGUGGACAACCUGCCUCAAGGCUGGGGAUAACAUUUGGAAACAGAUGCUAAUACCGAAUAAAACUUAGUGUCGCAUGACACAAAGUUAAAAGGCGCUUCGGCGUCACCUAGAGAUGGAUCCGCGGUGCAUUAGUUAGUUGGUGGGGUAAAGGCCUACCAAGACAAUGAUGCAUAGCCGAGUUGAGAGACUGAUCGGCCACAUUGGGACUGAGACACGGCCCAAACUCCUACGGGAGGCUGCAGUAGGGAAUCUUCCACAAUGGGCGAAAGCCUGAUGGAGCAACGCCGCGUGUGUGAUGAAGGCUUUCGGGUCGUAAAGCACUGUUGUAUGGGAAGAACAGCUAGAAUAGGAAAUGAUUUUAGUUUGACGGUACCAUACCAGAAAGGGACGGCUAAAUACGUG
rnacentral:rRNA from 1 species